UACGUAGGUCCCGAGCGUUGUCCGGAUUUAUUGGGCGUAAAGCGAGCGCAGGUGGUUUAUUAAGUCUGGUGUAAAAGGCAGUGGCUUAACCAUUGUAUGCAUUGGAAACUGGUAGACUUGAGUGCAGGAGAGGAGAGUGGAAUUCCAUGUGUAGCGGUGAAAUGCGUAGAUAUAUGGAGGAACACCGGUGGCGAAAGCGGCUCUCUGGCCUGUAACUGACGCUGAGGCUCGAAAGCGUGGGGAGCAAACAGG
rnacentral:rRNA from 1 species